rnacentral:rRNA from 1 species
UACGUAGGGGGCAAGCGUUGUCCGGAUUUAUUGGGCGUAAAGAGCGUGUAGGCGGUCAGGUAGGUCCGUUGUGAAAACUCGAGGCUCAACCUCGAGACGCCGAUGGAAACCAUCUGACUAGAGUCCGGAAGAGGAGAGUGGAAUUCCGUGGUGUAGCGGUGAAAUGCGCAGAUAUCAGGAAGAACACCCGUGGCUAAGGCGGCUCUCUAGUACGGUACUGACGCUGAGACGCGAAAGCGUGGGGAGCGAACAGG